rnacentral:tRNA from 1 species
GGGCUGGCUGAUGGGGUCAGGGCUGUUCCUUGCAAGAACGGUAUCAAUGGGUUCGAUUCCCGUUCGGUCCACCA